UACGUAGGGCGCAAGCGUUAUCCGGAAUUAUUGGGCGUAAAGAGCUCGUAGGCGGUUGUCGCGUCUGCCGUGAAAGUCCGGGGCUCAACUCCGGAUCUGCGGUGGGUACGGGCAGACUAGAGUGAUGUAGGGGAGACUGGAAUUCCUGGUGUAGCGGUGAAAAUGCGCAGAUAUCAGGAGGAACACCGAGUGGCGAAGGCAGGUCUCUGGGCAUUAACUGACGGCUGAGGAGCGAAAGCAUGGGGAGCGAACAGG
rnacentral:rRNA from 1 species